UUUAGUGAUCUCGUAAUACCCGCCUCAAUUGUUCCAUCCAGUCAUCAAUCACCAUUCAUGGACACGGAGACCGUCCAACGACGCCGUCGAACCAAUGCAACUUCUCACAACGCCGUCGUAACAGAGAAAAGGUUGAAACGCAGCGAGGUACUCGCAAAGAAGAAAGCCGAUAAACAACUCAUCAGAGAAGCGUAUGCCAAAAAGGAUCAACUCGCUUCUUUUCCCGCUUAUCGCAACUUCCAAAUGAACGGUCUGUCAGUGUGUUUGAAGUCAGGACAUGGCAAUAAACUUUCUUCUCCUGUUAAACGUUAUAUUCAGAAUCUCCUUAAGCUUAACAUGGAAGGGCCAUAUGGAUCUGAGUGGCAAGUGGAAGAGAAGGUGAAGCGCGUAGAAAUGGUUGAUCCUGAAGCAUGCUAUAUAUUUGUGCACGAGGUUGAUAAUUCAAAUGCUGAUGAGAUGACAACGGUGUUAACUGCGGAAGAUACUUCAACCAGUUGUGUAGAAGAUAGAAGCCCCUUGGUUGGGUUUGUACAUUACCGCUUUGUUUUGGAAGAAGAGGUACCAGUGCUUUAUGUGUAUGAACUACAGGUUGAGCCUCGGGGCCAGGGGAAAGGAUUGGGGAAGUUUCUAAUGGAACUAAUUGAGCUUAUCGCCCAAAAGAACUGCAUGGGUGCUGUCAUGCUUACUGUUCAAAAGGCAAACUUGUCAGCUAUGAAUUUUUAUACAAGUAAGCUAAGGCAUUCCUGAAUCGCAUUUCUGCAACAAGAAGAGAAGGAGCCGUUAGUUUCAUGUUAUGAAAUCCACAUGUAUAACUAUAUUCUACGUGUAAUAGACUUCUUUAUUAGGGUAUGUUUACUCUAGCAAGCACAUGUUUAUUUGCGCAAAAUGCCACAAAUCCUUGACAUGUGCUACGUUCUAAUUCCAGUUUCUAAAUUGAAAUUGUAAUGAUAAUCUUAGUUGUUAUAUGUGGUGAUUAAACAUAAAGUAAGAACAAUGCGAUUGUUAGAGUUAUUGCUGUAUCUUUUAAUAAAAAGUUAUGGAUCUUUGCUUCACUCCCUUUUUAUGUUUGGUCUUUGUUUUGUUGUAUGAUGAAACAUCCCUGUUACAGAUAUAUCAUAUCAGCCACAUCACCUUCUAAAGUUAAUCCAAAGAUGGAGACAAGUUAUGAAAUUCUUUGCAAAACAUUUAACGAUGAAGCUAAAACUAUUUUGGAGGUGACUGAAAACAAAAGCUUUUGAUUGCAUUCAAUCUGUGAACCAUGUGCUUAUUUUAGUUGAUGACACGUCAUUAAUUUUCUCGCAAAAGGUAAUUUUAAAGUAUAAAUUCAUUGAAUGCUGUUAUCCAUUACUAGAAGAAAAUAUUGAGACUUGCUCAAAUUGUUUUCCUGAUCAUAAAUGUUGAAGUAACGUGGUGAAAGCUUGCGUUCUGUUGUGCCUCAACAAGCUUUCACCACAUUUCAUCAACAUUUUUGUUUAGGAAAACAUCACCUUAAAAUCAUCUUUCAAUUGGCUCUAUGAUAAAGUAAAGUCAAACUACUUUAUGCUGAAAUAAAGUAGAAACGAAUAAGUCGAUUCAAACUUAAAUUGGAAAUGUAACAUAAGUUUCACCCUCAUAUCUCUGAUUCAUUUUUCUCCAUAGAAUCUCUUUUGUUUUGUUUGCAGGAUAGUGGGUGAGUUGGAGAAAGACUGCUUAAGUUAUUGGUCUCAUUUUUAUGGCUUCUAGCUUCAUUGUAUUAAUUGAGUGUCCUGUUUCUCCUACAUAAACAUUGGGUUCUUUUUUUGUUUUGCCAGAUUUAAGUACACCUAUUCUCUCUCUAAUUUUAAUGAUAUAGUAUCAAAUAAUUUCUCUC